AGAGUUCGAUCCUGGCUCAGGAUGAACGCUGGCGGCGCGCCUAACACAUGCAAGUCGAACGGCACCCCUCUCCGGAGGGAAGCGAGUGGCGAACGGCUGAGUAACACGUGGAGAACCUGCCCCCUCCCCCGGGAUAGCCGCCCGAAAGGACGGGUAAUACCGGAUACCCCGGGGUGCCGCAUGGCACCCCGGCUAAAGCCCCGACGGGAGGGGAUGGCUCCGCGGCCCAUCAGGUAGACGGCGGGGUGACGGCCCACCGUGCCGACAACGGGUAGCCGGGUUGAGAGACCGACCGGCCAGAUUGGGACUGAGACACGGCCCAGACUCCUACGGGAGGCAGCAGUGGGGAAUCUUGCGCAAUGGGGGGAACCCUGACGCAGCGACGCCGCGUGCGGGACGGAGGCCUUCGGGUCGUAAACCGCUUUCAGCAGGGAAGAGUCAAGACUGUACCUGCAGAAGAAGCCCCGGCUAACUACGUGCCAGCAGCCGCGGUAAUACGUAGGGGGCGAGCGUUAUCCGGAUUCAUUGGGCGUAAAGCGCGCGUAGGCGGCCCGGCAGGCCGGGGGUCGAAGCGGGGGGCUCAACCCCCCGAAGCCCCCGGAACCUCCGCGGCUUGGGUCCGGUAGGGGAGGGUGGAACACCCGGUGUAGCGGUGGAAUGCGCAGAUAUCGGGUGGAACACCGGUGGCGAAGGCGGCCCUCUGGGCCGAGACCGACGCUGAGGCGCGAAAGCUGGGGGAGCGAACAGGAUUAGAUACCCUGGUAGUCCCAGCCGUAAACGAUGGACGCUAGGUGUGGGGGGACGAUCCCCCCGUGCCGCAGCCAACGCAUUAAGCGUCCCGCCUGGGGAGUACGGCCGCAAGGCUAAAACUCAAAGGAAUUGACGGGGGCCCGCACAAGCAGCGGAGCAUGUGGCUUAAUUCGAAGCAACGCGAAGAACCUUACCAGGGCUUGACAUAUAGGUGAAGCGGUGGAAACACCGAUCCAUACCGUUUGGACAAGCCAUCCCAGAGUACAGCCGCAGGUUCCGGGGCAAAUGGAUUUCUUCACGCCUGAAAGCUCCACCGUCAUUCCAGGGACGGAUACGCCGGAUCGCCCCUUUGUUCCGCUGACGCCGGUUUCCCCUGUGCAACCAACGGAAGUACCGUUGACGCCAGUGCCGCAGGCACAGCCUGUGCAUCAAAGCGAAGCACCUACGCCUGCAUCUGGGCAACAGCCAGCACCGCAGCAGCAGGUUCAGGCGGAACAAAUGUCCUUCAAUACCGGGUUGAUUGACCGCCCUGCGAUCAUUCAGACAAUCAACAGCUUUGCCCUGCUUAAUUAUAAAGUCACCCCACACCAAACCGCUUCUAGUCUGACUUCACUGGUUAACCUGACACAUUUGUUGAGCAUUACUGCCAUCGAGCAGAAUGCCUAUG
rnacentral:rRNA from 1 species